rnacentral:rRNA from 1 species
GGCUAAACCCGCGUACAUGCCACCGGGGCAUCCCGGAGGCAGGAAAGGCUUCGGCCGGACAGGAAUGGGCACGCGGCGCAUUAGGCAGUAGGCGGGGUAACGGCCCACCUAACCGACGAUGCGUAGGGGUUCUGAGAGGAAGGUCCCCCACACUGGUACUGAGACACGGACCAGACUCCUACGGGAGGCAGCAGUGAGGAAUAUUGGUCAAUGGUCGGGAGACUGAACCAGCCAAGCCGCGUGAGGGAUGAAGGUACAGAGUAUCGUAAACCUCUUUUGUCAGGGAACAAAGGCGGGGACGUGUCCCCGGAUGAGUGUACCUGAAGAAAAAGCAUCGGCUAACUCCGUGCCAGCAGCCGCGGUAAUACGGAGGAUGCGAGCGUUAUCCGGAUUUAUUGGGUUUAAAGGGUGCGCAGGCGGUCUGUUAAGUCAGCGGUCAAAGCCCGGGGCUCAACCCCGGCCCGCCGUUGAAACUGGCAGUCUCGAGUUGGAGAGAAGUAUGCGGAAUGCGCGGUGUAGCGGUGAAAUGCAUAGAUAUCGCGCAGAACUCCGAUUGCGAAGGCAGCAUGCCGGCUCCACACUGACGCUGAGGCACGAAAGCGUGGGUAUCGAACAGGAUUAGAUACCCUGGUAGUCCACGCAGUAAACG